rnacentral:tRNA from 1 species
GCAUUAGGGGUUCAGUGGUAGAAUUCUUGCCUUCCAUGCAGGAGAACUGGGUUCGAUUCCUGGCCAGGGUC